AUGGAUACAGAGUCUCAAGUCAAGAAGGUACAAUUACCGGCUAAAUUUCUGGCUUGUGUAAAACAGGGAAGUUGGCUUAGGACAUCAGUUGGGUACAAGCCACCAAAUCAAUCAUUUCUGUCCAGUUCUGAGUGGGGAGUUCUUUUGCAAAGUGGCUCCUCGUUUGUUGAUAUACCGAUGAUUGACCAAAAGUUCUAUCAAAACAAGCUGCAUUUGUACUGGGAGGAACUCAAGGCGAUCGGAGUUAGAUUUGAAUUUCAGGAGGCAUCAGCGUACAUCGGCAGCCGCCUCAUGUCUAUGGCUGCAAGCAAUACGCUGAUCAGAGAGAAUGUGUACUCACUCCUUCGGCUGAUUCGGUUUCUUCGAGAGAAAGUUCUAUCUCCAAGCGAACUCAUCAACAGUGUCAAAGAUGGACAGUGGAUGAAGAGUACUCUCAGCUACAGGUCUCCAGUUGGUUGUAUCAUCUAUGAUGCAGGCUGGGCAGUUGCAUCCUGUAUCAGUAGCCAGCCGUUCCUUGAUGUCAAGUUCUAUGGCGACGACAUCCUUACCUACAAACCAGAGCUCAACUUGCUCGGUGUUCUUGUUGAAUUUAAAGACAGCUACAAACUUGUGAUUGAUAAUUUCAAGUUCAGUUCGGCUGCUAUUACUCCUGAGGCUACUGUGCUAAUCCUCAAAUGUAUCCAGCAUGUGAACUCAUGCGAUGCCUUCAUAAGAAAGAUCAAAGAUUUAAAAUGGGUGAAGACCAGUGUGGGGUUCCGUGCUCCUAAUGAAUCUUUUCUUGUGGAUCCUCGAUGGGAGUGCCUUCUAAAGGUCUUUGAUGGGGUUCCUGUAGUUGAUUUCAGAUUUGAUGGGAGUAAGCUUAGUCCCUACAAAGCAGAGUUGGAGAAGACCGGGUUGAUAGCAAAAUUGGAGGCGGCAUCAAAGGCUGUAGCUCACUUGUUCAAGCAGAUGGUUCUGAACUCAUCACUUCCAAAGGCGAGUGUCCUAGCCCUGCUAGCAUGUUAUGGGCAGCUGAAAACACAGGGCGCGCUCCCUGUCGAGCUUUUCAGUUGCAUGCUGAAUGAGAAGUGGUUGCGUACAUCGUUUGGUUUCAGAUCUCCCAAAGAUGCAAUCUUGUUCAAUGCAGAAUGGCAGUCUCUAUCAUCAGUAGCAGACCUACCUUUCAUAGAUGACGGUGACUCUCACCAAGGUUUAAGCAAAGAAAUACAUGGUUAUAAAGAUGAGCUCAAGAAUUUAGGUGUUACUACUGAAGUGAAAGCUGGUGCUAGGUUUGUCAUCAAUGGCAUCAACAUUCCCAAGGAUCCUUUACACUUGUCUGGAGCUACUGUCUUGUCAUUGCCCAGGUCCAUUCGGAGCUGGUUGGCUUCUUCAAGUAACUUCCCAAAGGGCUUUCUAGAGAAAAUCAAAGGCUGCAGUUGGUUGAGGACAAAAGUGGGGUUCCAAUGUCCUGAUGAGUCGAUCCUGUUUGAUCCAAAGAAUUCUUCCAUUCGCAUAGAAGAUAGCCCUUUCAUUGAUGAAGCAUUCUAUGGCUCGGAGAUAGCCUCAUUCAGAGACGCCCUUGCGGCAAUCGGAGUAUCUGUGGAUGUUAGACACGGACAUGAGCUUGUUGCUCGACAUCUGAAAGGCCACAAAAACAGGGCUACUAUUUCUCGUAUUUACACGUACCUUAAGGAGUACAAUUGGGAGCCUGCAAACAAGACUAGUGAUUGGAUCUGGAUACCAAAUAAAAAGAAAAGUGGAGAGUGGGUGAGCCCUCUGGGUUGUGUUCAUGAUAAGGACAACCUUUUCAGCCUGCAGCUGCAUGUCUUGGACAAAUAUUAUGACAAGAAGUUGCUGGACUUCUUUUCACAUGUUUUUGGUGUGAGGAAUGGUCCUAGCGCUGAAGAUCAUUGCAAACUAUGGAGCACAUGGGAGAGCUCUGUCGAUGCGCUAUCUGCAGCUGACUGCUCUGCUUUCUGGCAGUUCAUUGCUAAGAACUGGAGCAAAAACACGGAGAAGCUUCUUUCUGCUUGUGUCAAGGUUCCAGUUUGUACCGACGGAACUAUCCUUCUGUCGAAGAAAGAGGAUGUGUUUAUUCCUGAUGAUCUACUCCCUCCGUUCCGAAUUACUUGUCGUAGGUAUGGAUGUAUCUAG
rnacentral:rRNA from 1 species